UACGGGGGGUGCGAGCGUUGUCCGGAAUCACUGGGCGUAAAGGGCGCGUAGGUGGUUUGAUAAGGGUGUGGUGAAAGUCCGGAGCUCAACUCCGGAUCUGCCGUGCCGACUGUCAAACUCGAGGGCUGUAGAGGCAGACGGAAUUCCGGGUGUAGCGGUGGAGUGCGUAGAGAUCCGGAGGAAGACCGGUGGCGAAGGCGGUCUGCUGGGCAGUUUCUGACACUGAGGCGCGACAGCGUGGGGAGCAAACAGG
rnacentral:rRNA from 1 species